rnacentral:rRNA from 1 species
GUGAGGAAUAUUGGUCAAUGGGCGAGAGCCUGAACCAGCCAAGUCGCGUGAAGGAAGAAGGAUCUAUGGUUCGUAAACUUCUUUUGCAGGGGAAUAAAGUGCGGGACGUGUCCUGUUUUGUAUGUACCCUGAGAAUAAGGAUCGGCUAACUCCGUGCCAGCAGCCGCGGUAAUACGGAGGAUCCGAGCGUUAUCCGGAUUUAUUGGGUUUAAUGGGUGCGUAGGUGGUUUGAUAAGUCAGCGGUGAAAGUUUGCAGCUUAACUGUAAAAAUGCCGUUGAAACUGUCAGACUUGAGUGUAAAUGAGGUAGGCGGAAUGCGUGGUGUAGCGGUGAAAUGCAUAGAUAUCACGCAGAACUCCGAUUGCGAAGGCAGCUUACUAAGCUACAACUGACACUGAAGCACGAAAGCGUGGGGAUCAAACAGGAUUAGAAACCCCGGUAGUCC